rnacentral:rRNA from 1 species
UAGGGAAUCUUCCACAAUGGACGCAAGUCUGAUGGAGCAACGCCGCGUGAGUGAAGAAGGUUUUCGGAUCGUAAAGCUCUGGUGUUGGUGAAGAAGGAUAGAGGCAGUAACUGGUCUUUAUUUGACGGUAAUCAACCAGAAAGUCACGGCUAACUACGUGCCAGCAGCCGCGGUAAUACGUAGGUGGCAAGCGUUGUCCGGAUUUAUUGGGCGUAAAGCGAGCGCAGGGGGAAUGAUAAGUCUGAUGUGAAAGCCCACGGCUCAACCGUGGAACUGCAUCGGAACCUGUCAUUCUUGAGUGCAGAAGAGGAGAGUGGAAUUCCAUGUGUAGCGGUGGAAUGCGUAGAUAUAUGGUAGAGCACCAGUGGCGAAGGCGGCUCUCUGGUCGGCAACUGACGCUGAGGCUCGAAAGCAUGGGUAGCGAACAGG